rnacentral:rRNA from 1 species
UACGAAGGGGGCUAGCGUUGUUCGGAAUCAUUGGGCGUAAAGCGCGCGUAGGCGGCCCGGUAAGUCCGUUGUGAAAGUCAAAGGCUCAACCUUUGAACGCCGAUGGAUACUGCCGGGCUAGAGUCCGGAAGAGGCGAGUGGAAUUCCUGGUGUAGCGGUGGAAUGCGCAGAUAUCAGGAGGAACACCAAUAGCGAAGGCAGCUCGCUGGGACGGUACUGACGCUGAGGCGCGAAAGCGUGGGGAGCGAACAGG